AGAGAAAAGACAGAACAUGAAAUACAUUCUGCAACUUUUAAAAAAGGAGACAAAGAAAUUUCAAAAUGAAGUUUCCCUUUAGUGGACAGAGGCUGAGGGAGCUGGGAUAUACAUAUUUUUCCUUCCAGAGAUCAAGCUUUGUGGGGAGGAAAAGAUCAUGCUUUGAGCCAACUUCUCCCAAAACACAAGGUGGGACCUUCUAAGACCACCAAAAACAACAGUGUUUUUUUAAACAACAUGAUGGGCUGAACCUGGCAACCACUGUUAAUGUCCACUGGAUGUGAGUUAAAACCAAAUUAGAUUGGCUGCUUUUUAUGCUAAUCCAUGCCAGCAUUCCAACUGAUUGCUCCUCUUAAAUUAAGCAGAGGGAGCUGCUGAAUGUUAGAGGGUUUGGACAUCUGGCUACCCAAGAAGGCAUGGACAGAGGUUAACAGCUUUCAGCCUCCAUGAUUUGAAGAACUGUUGAAUAAAUGAGGAAGGGAAAACUGAAGACACAAUCCACCAGAAAUUAAAAGAGCUCUCCAACUGCAAAAGCAAGCAUGAGCUCAACCUUGGAACCUUCUUUUAACUUUGGUUUCCCAGGACUGUGGGGUUAAGGACGUGCUCAUCUUCUGAGGAAGCCAAGAUCAUGUUUUAAUGAUAACAAUUUUGUUCUGGAUUGAAUAAUCGUUUUCGUUGCUCCCAUUUAUAAACUACUGCUAUGCACCAUA